GCCCACACGAAGUCGGAGUUGCUAGUAAUCCCAAAUCAGCAUGUUGGGGUGAAUGCGUUCCCGGGUCUUGUACACACCGCCCGUCACGCCAUGGGAGUUGGGAGUACCCAAAGUCGGUGACCUAACCUGCAAAGGAAGGAGCCGCCUAAGGUAAUACCGAUGACUGGGGUGAAGUCGUAACAAGGUAUC
rnacentral:rRNA from 1 species